rnacentral:rRNA from 1 species
CAGUCGAGCGGACAGAUGGGAGCUUGCUCCCGGAUGUUAGCGGCGGACGGGUGAGUAACACGUGGGUAACCUGCCUGUAAGACUGGGAUAACUCCGGGAAACCGGAGCUAAUACCGGAUACUUUCUUUUCCCGCAUGGUACAAGGUGGAAAGACGGUUUCCGCUGUCACUUAUAGAUGGGCCCGCGGCGCAUUAGCUAGUUGGUGAGGUAAUGGCUCACCAAGGCGACGAUGCGUAGCCGACCUGAGAGGGUGAUCGGCCACACUGGGACUGAGACACGGCCCAGACUCCUACGGGAGGCAGCAGUAGGGAAUCUUCCGCAAUGGACGAAAGUCUGACGGAGCAACGCCGCGUGAGUGAAGAAGGUCUUCGGAUCGUAAAGUUCUGUUGUUAGGGAAGAACAAGUGCAAGAGUAACUGCUGGCACCUUGACGGUACCUAACCAGAAAGCCACGGCUAACUACGUGCCAGCAGCCGCGGUAAUACGUAGGUGGCAAGCGUUGUCCGGAAUUAUUGGGCGUAAAGGGCUCGCAGGUGGUUUCUUAAGUCUGAUGUGAAAGCCCACGGCUCAACCGUGGAGGGUCAUUGGAAACUGGGAAACUUGAGUGCAGAAGAGGAGAGUGGAAUUCCACGUGUAGCGGUGAAAUGCGUAGAGAUUUGGAGGAACACCAGUGGCGAAGGCGACUCUC